rnacentral:rRNA from 1 species
UACGGGGGGGGCAAGCGUUGUUCGGAAUUACUGGGCGUAAAGGGCGCGUAGGCGGUUCGAUAAGUCAGCUGUGAAAACCACGGGCUUAACUCGUGGCCUGCAGUUGAGACUGCCUGGCUUGAGUGUGGGAGAGGAGAGUGGAAUUCCUGGUGUAGCGGUGAAAUGCGUAGAUAUCAGGAGGAACACCGGUGGCGAAGGCGGCUCUCUGGACCACAACUGACGCUGAGGCGCGAAAGCUAGGGGAGCAAACGGG